GAUGAACGCUGGCGGCGUGCCUAAUACAUGCAAGUCGAGCGAACAGACGAGGAGCUUGCUCCUCUGACGUUAGCGGCGGACGGGUGAGUAACACGUGGAUAACCUACCUAUAAGACUGGGAUAACUUCGGGAAACCGGAGCUAAUACCGGAUAAUAUAUUGAACCGCAUGGUUCAAUAGUGAAAGACGGUUUUGCUGUCACUUAUAGAUGGAUCCGCGCCGCAUUAGCUAGUUGGUAAGGUAACGGCUUACCAAGGCAACGAUGCGUAGCCGACCUGAGAGGGUGAUCGCCCACACUGGACCUGCGACACGGUCCAGCCUCCUACGGGAGGCAGCAGUAGGGAAUCUUCCGCAUUGGGCGAAAGCCUGACGGAGCAACGCCGCGUGAGUGAUGAAGGUCUUCGGAUCGUAAACCUCUGUUAUUAGGGAAGAACAAAUGUGUAAGUAACUAUGCACGUCUUGACGGUACCUAAUCAGAAAGCCACGGCUAACUACGUG
rnacentral:rRNA from 1 species